ensembl:piRNA 21ur-13580 ncRNA
UACCUCUGGGCUCUUUAAUUG